CAGCCUGAUGGGCAGAUGCCCAGUGACAAGACCAUCAGGGGAGGGGAUGACUCCUUCAACACCCUUUUUAGUGAAACUGGGGCUGGGAAACAUGUGCCCCAGGCAGCGUUUGUGGAUCUGGAGCCUGCUGUGAUAGCCCAAAACUCUGCCCAUUGCGAUGAAGUUUGAACAGAUACAUCCUGCCAGAUCUUCUAUCCAGAGCAGCUCAUCACAGGCAAGGAAGAUGCUGCCAAUAACUAUGCCCAAGGCCACUACACCACUGGGAAGGAGCUCAUUGACCUGGUACUGGACUGGAUUCAGAAGCCAGCUGACCAGUGCACAGGACUUCAGGGCUUCCUGGUGUUCCACAGCUUUGGCAGGGGCACUGGCUCUGGCUUCACCUCACUCCUGAUGGAACGGCUCUCUGUUGACUAUGGCAAGAAAUCCAAGCUGGAAUUCUCCAUCUACCCAGCCCCCCAGGUGUCUACAGCCGUGGUCGAGCCCUACAACUCUAUCCUGACCACCCACACCACCCUGGAGCACUCAGACUGUGCCUUCAUGGUGGACAACGAAGCAAUCUAUGACAUCUGCCGCCGCAACCUAGAUAUCGAGCGCCCAACCUACACCAACCUCAAUCGCCUCAUUAGCCAAAUCCUCUCCUCCAUCACAGCUUCUCUGCGCUUUGACGGGGCCCUCAAUGUGGACCUGAUGGAGUUCUAGAUCAACCUGGUGCCCUACCCUCGCAUCCAUUUCUCCCUGGCCACCUAUGCACCAGUCAUCUCUGUAGAAAAGGCAUACCACGAGCCGCUGUCGGUGGAAGAGAGCACCAAUGUCUGCUUUGAGCCUGGAUGGUGAAGUGUGAUCCCCGGCACGGCAAGUACAUGGCCUGCUGCUUACCGCACCAUGGAGACAUGGUGCCCGAGGAUGUCAAUGCUGCCAUUGCCACCAUCAAGACCAAGAGCAGCAUUCAGUUUGUGGACUGGUGCCCCACAGGCUUCAAGGUUGGUAUCAACUACCAGCCUCCCACUGUGGUGCCUGGGGGUGACCUGGCCAAGGUGCAACGUGCCAUGUGCAUGCUGAGCAACACAACAGCCAUUACCGAGGCCUGGGCCCACCUGGACCACAAGUUCAACCUGAUGUAUGCCAAGAGGGUGUUUGUGCACUGGUAUGUGGGUGAAGGUAUGGAGGAAGGUGAGUUCUCUGAGGCCCAUGAGGAUAUGACUGCCCUGGAGAAGUAUUACAAGGAGGUGGGCAUGGAUAGCGUAGAGCGGGGGGGAAGAAAAGAAGUGGGGGAUGAAUACUAG